GCCGCCUGCGUGGAGAAGAGGCCUGACACAUCCAUAUGUACGGGCCUGAAGGACACAGACAGGUAGCACUAUAGACGUGGAGGGCACUCAUAACAAGAACAAGAUUUAAAAUCAUCUAAAGUAGGGCACUCAUACAAAUAAGACAUUUCUCUAGGUAUUAUGUAUCCGAGCUCGCAACAAUGACGAGAUCGUGAGUGAAAAACAGAAAUGCCCUCAUGGGAAUAAGAAAAACUCGCAAGUCAGAAGCUUAACCAAAUUCCGAGCUCUUAGCCCGGGUCAGUUCGACUAGCAAAGUCCCAGUAGAGCCAGUCUGGUCCAUCAAGUAAGUAAAAUUGACAAAG
rnacentral:lncRNA from 1 species